rnacentral:rRNA from 1 species
GAUGAACGCUGGCGGCGUGCUUAACACAUGCAAGUCGAACGGUGAACACGGAGCUUGCUCUGUGGGAUCAGUGGCGAACGGGUGAGUAACACGUGAGCAACCUGCCCCUGACUCUGGGAUAAGCGCUGGAAACGGCGUCUAAUACUGGAUAUGUGACGUGACCGCAUGGUCUGCGUUUGGAAAGAUUUUUCGGUUGGGGAUGGGCUCGCGGCCUAUCAGCUUGUUGUUGAGGUAAUGGCUCACCAAGGCGUCGACGGGUAGCCGGCCUGAGAGGGUGACCGGCCACACUGGGAUUGCGACACGGCCCAGACUCCUACGGGAGGCAGCAGUGGGGAAUAUUGCACAAUGGGCGAAAGCCUGAUGCAGCAACGCCGCGUGAGGGAUGACGGCCUUCGGGUUGUAAACCUUUUUUAGCAGGGAAGAAGCGAAAGUGACGGUACCUGCAGAAAAAGCGCCGGCUAACUACGUG